AACGAACGCUGGCGGCAUGCCUAACACAUGCAAGUCGAACGAGACCUUCGGGUCUAGUGGCGCACGGGUGCGUAACGCGUGGGAACCUGCCCUUGGGUUCGGAAUAACUCCCCGAAAGGGGUGCUAAUACCGGAUAAUGUCUUCGGACCAAAGAUUUAUCGCCUUUGGAUGGGCCCGCGUUGGAUUAGCUAGUUGGUAGGGUAAAAGCCUACCAAGGCGACGAUCCAUAGCUGGUCUGAGAGGAUGAUCAGCCACACUGGGACUGAGACACGGCCCAGACUCCUACGGGAGGCAGCAGUGGGGAAUAUUGGACAAUGGGCGAAAGCCUGAUCCAGCAAUGCCGCGUGAGUGAUGAAGGCCUUAGGGUUGUAAAGCUCUUUUACCCGGGAUGAUAAUGACAGUACCGGGAGAAUAAGCUCCGGCUAACUCCGUG
rnacentral:rRNA from 1 species